AUUGAACGCUGGCGGCAGGCCUAACACAUGCAAGUCGAACGAGUGGCGGACGGGUGAGUAAUGUCUGGGAAACUGCCUGAUGGAGGGGGAUAACUACUGGAAACGGUAGCUAAUACCGCAUACCAUCGGAUGUGCCCAGGUGGGAUUAGCUAGUUGGUGGGGUAACGGCUCACCUAGCCGACGAUCCCUAGCUGGUCUGAGAGGAUGACCAGCUACACUGUAACUUAGACACGGUCCAGACUCCUACGGGAGGCAGCAGUGGGUAAUAUUGCACAAUGGGCGCAAUCCUGAUGCAGCCAUGCCGCGUGUAUGAAGAAGGCCUUCGGGUGGGAAAGUACGUGCUGCGGGGAGGCGUUACCCGCAGAAGAAGCACCGGCUAACUCCGUGCCAGCGGCCGCGGUAAUAC
rnacentral:rRNA from 1 species